rnacentral:rRNA from 1 species
CCUUUGACGUUAGCGGCGGACGGGUGAGUAACACGUGGGUAACCUACCUAUAAGACUGGGAUAACUUCGGGAAACCGGAGCUAAUACCGGAUAAUAUUUCGAACCGCAUGGUUCGAUAGUGAAAGAUGGUUUUGCUAUCACUUAUAGAUGGACCCGCGCCGUAUUAGCUAGUUGGUAAGGUAACGGCUUACCAAGGCGACGAUACGUAGCCGACCUGAGAGGGUGAUCGGCCACACUGGAACUGAGACACGGUCCAGACUCCUACGGGAGGCAACAGUA